CUUUCGGUUAUUCGAAUUCCGGGAUGUGGAUUUUGGUGCAGCUGAGUUGGAGGUUUUUGCUGAGUUUGAUCAUUGCUUUGUUUGUUUUCUAUAUUGCUGCUAAGCCUCGCCCUCCUAACAUCUUUAUUAAGAUUGGAGGAAUUGGAGGGUUCAGAUUAGCCGAGGGAGUGGACGGCUCUGGUGCAUCGACGAAAAUAUUAAGCUGCAAUUGUUCAAUUGAUUUAAUAAUAGAAAAUAAGUCCAAGCUAUUUGGUCUUCACAUCAAUCCUCCAUUCAUUCAAUUGCUUUUUGGCCAUCUCCCUUUUGCAGUGUCAUAGGUCAGCAAUUUGUUAUAUUGUGUUUCCCAUUUUUAUUUUUCCAUUGUCAAAUUCAAAUUUCAUUACACAUAGGAAACAAAAAUUCAUUGUGUUU